AAAUUAUUUUUUUAAGGAAGGUUUUAGAACUUUCGAUUCACUUGUGUGGAGGAAAAGGUGAAUGUGAAACAAAGUUUGCUUUUCCUUCUAUCUAAGCAUGUUCUAUCAUACUUGUGGCUCUACUCCUGCAUUGCCAGUGCUGCCAGGUUGCUUAAGAGGUAACAGACUGACCGUGGGAGGAAUAAGGACAUUUUGGUACUGCUGUGCCUCUUGAACGAACCUGAUGAGAACCAGGACUUUCUGUGGAUGAACAGGAUGCAGCUUGCAAAGAGAAGUCUGUGGCACUCCCUUUCAUAUCCCAUCCCUUCUGGCUCUGUCCGUGAGGAGGCUAGCGGGCAUGGAGACAAUCAGUGGUGACCUUGAAGAUUACAAAACUGCUCUGAGCCUGGGUUUCUGAAUUAUUACAUGGAUGAGGUGUUAUUAAUCAUCGUUCCUCAUUUCCUUUCACUGCUGGGAUUUGACAAGGAUUUUAUUUCACCUUGAAAAACUGCACAUAGUGGAGAGUUUCUUCACUUUAUUCCUGCAGUCUUAACAUACCCUACUGA